rnacentral:misc_RNA from 1 species
GACAAAAUAUAAAAUCUUAAAAAAUAUAGAAAACAUAAAAGAUGUAUAUAUUUAUUUACUUAAUAAGAACCACCAACAGAAUUACAUGUCUAAAAAAAUUACAAUUAGUUACAUGCUUAGGUAUUAAAUACCUAUACAUAUAGUCGUCUGCCUAUUCUAAAAACUUUAAACAUUCAGCGUUUUUAAACAAAACAUACAAAAUA